CAAAAACAUGUCCUUUAGAAUUUAAUUUAAGGUCUAACCUGCCCACUGAUUUAUUAAAUGGCCGCAGUAUUUUAACUGUGCAAAGGUAGCAUAAUCAUUAGUCUUUUAAUUGGAGGCUUGUAUGAAUGGUUGGACAAGAUAUAUAUUGUUUCAUAUAAAUUUAUAGAAUUUUAUUUUUUAGUUAAAAAGCUAAAAUUUAUUUAAAAGACGAGAAGACCCUAUAGAUCUUUAUAAUUAAUAAAUUUUAUUUAUUAAGAAUAUUUUAUAUUUAAUUUAUUAAAUUAUUUUAUUGGGGUGAUAGUAAAAUUUAGUUAACUUUUACAUUAUAAAUUACAUGAAUUAUUGAUUAAUUGAUCCAAUAAUAUUGAUUAAUAAAUUAAGUUACCUUAGGGAUAACAGCGUAAUUUUUUUAGAGAGUUCAUAUCGAUAAAAAAGAUUGCGACCUCGAUGUUGGAUUAAGAGAUAAAUUUAGGUGUAGCCGUUUAAAUUUUAAGUCUGUUCGACUUUUUAAUUCUUACAUGAUCUGAGUUCAAACCGG
rnacentral:rRNA from 1 species